UCAAAAUCUCAUAUCAAGGCCUGUUGAAAACUCCAACCCAACUUGACCCAACAAGCUGAUUGGUCUGCAGAGGUUAGAGUGGAGCCCAUCCCGAGUCACACCAGCAGCAGGCAGUUGGCCCGUUCCAACUUGGUCCCGGUUCACCUGGAUGAAACCGGAGUGGAAACUGGGUAUCGACUUCAAACAUCGGUUAUCUCUCUCCUGUCUGAGUAUGUUGCAAUUCGUUGUUCUCCGCGGCUCGAACACUUGUUCGAUGCCCACCUACCGUUCGAUCCAAUUCUUCACAGGCCUAAUUGGGCUCCUCCGCCCCCCUCCCUCACCACCUUCCCCUCCGCCGGGAUGCGAGAACCCCCAAUUCGGCGGUAUCAGAGGGAGUGAACAUGGAGCUCACCCUCACGAGGCCUGACGAUUGGCACCUCCACCUUCGCGAUGGCGACCUCCGACAAGCCGUCGUGCCUCAUAGGUUUAGCUUCCACGACUCAAAGUUGUAAUGGAACACAUUACUUGUUUGGAUGCAGUCAGGUUCAUUCAUUCAUCCAGUGAAGUUCUUUAGGCCAUGUUGCUGCAACUGUGACUCCACAGCAUCUUCUUCUCAAUAGAAAUUCAUUGUUUCAGAAUGGGUUGCAGCCUCACAAUUACUGCCUUCCAGUAAUGAAAAGAGAGACUCAUAGACAAGAUAUAAUAUCAGCUGUUACAAGUGGAAGCAGAAGAUAUUUUCUUGGGACUGACAGUGCUCCACAUGAGAGACGAAAAAAAAAGAAUGCCCGGGUGGAUGUGCAGGCAUAUAUAACGCUCCUGUUGCAUGGUCACUUUAUGCCAAAAUAUUCGAACAGGCUGGUGCACUUGACAAACUAGAUGUAUUUACAAGCUUCAACGGCCCAGAUUUCUAAGGACUACCAAGAAACAUAUCAAAGAUUGUACUGCAAAAGAGUGCAUGGAGAGUGCUAGAAUCCUAUGCAUAUGCCUAUGGUGAAAUAGUCCCUAUGUUGGCAGGACAGACUCUUGGAUGGCUUCCAUCAAACAGUUGAAGACUGCAAAGUGGUUUUUGUCUCAAUUGAGAGGAAACAGAUGCAUAUUUUUAUUAUAAUUAUUACUGUAGCUGAUCAAUGGCAUUGAGGGGCUGAGUUCACUCACAUUUUUGUCUACACUUUUUUGAAGAAUUCGUUGAUGUUUUUGUGUCAAAAUAAUUUGUAACUUAUUGCUCAAAAAUAAAAUCUA